AAAUAAACAGCAGUCCCCCCGCCUCCCCCGGCCAUCGCCACCUCCUCCGCCCCACUGCGCAUGCCCGCUCGCUCUCUCCUCCACCCCCGAAUCCCGGGACGCGGGCCGUUUCCCCCCACAGCCCGGCGCCCUCUGCCCCCGGCCCGCCUCGCGUGCAGGUGGAGCGGGGUUCGCGGCGCGCGGCUGCCCGGGAGUUGCGGAGAAGGGCACCCCGGGGUCCCAGUUGCGGUGCCGGGCUGUGCUCACCCCCACGCCCCCGCCCCCAUCCUUCUCCCCCGAACGGGGCUGGGGAGGGGCACAUCUGGCGGACCCCUCCCGGGGCAAGUAGGCGGGUUUAGCAGGUGCGCAGCCUGGAACCCCCACACCCACCUUCCAGGGAGAAAAGUGCCGCUGCUUCCCGGGAAGUUCUCGGCUUUUCAGCACCCGGGACAACAGCAGCGGUGCCCGGGGAGACGCUCUCCACCCGCCCCGUGCUCGCGUCCAGUCGCCGGCUGAGUGUUCUUCUGCCCGGGCUUUCUCUCACCCGCCCGGCGCCGCGUCCCGCAGACCCAGCCUCCUACGGAGGAACCCGCGGGGACAGGGAGCACCUUCACCAAAGCCAGCAGAAGGGGUCUCCCUGGACAAGGAUCUGCUCGCCCUGCCCGGGUGUGUUCAGAGGCGCCACCAGCUCUUUAACUUACCGCCCAUUUCUUCGCCCGCACUUACGAAAAGUACCAGGCACCUUGUAAAUUUCCAUUGCUGUGUUAGAAAUUACCAGGAAUUUGACACAUCCAAAUAGAAAAACUGAAAAUAAGAAGUCACCCUUUUAUUCUCAUCCUCCCCAAAUCCUUAAAAAGCUCACCGACUGAAAAAAUAAAAUCCAGAAAUUGUUCCUCUGCUA